UACGAGGGGGGCGAGCGUUGUUCGGAAUUAUUGGGCGUAAAGGGCGCGUAGGCGGUCGGAUAAGUCUUGUGUGAAAUCUUCGGGCUCAACUCGAAGUCUGCACAGGAAACUAUCUGGCUUGAGUGUGGGAGAGGUGAGUGGAAUUCCUGGUGUAGCGGUGAAAUGCGUAGAUAUGACAUAGAACACCAAUUGCGAAGGCAGCUUACUACACAACGAUUGACGCUGAGGCACGAAAGCGUGGGGAUCAAACAGG
rnacentral:rRNA from 1 species